rnacentral:sRNA from 2 species
AUAAGGGCUUGUUUAUGUUUAUAUGUUCAUGUAUGAUGUACUGUAUAUAUAUAUAUAAAUAACUACAUGUCGCGCAAUGACAAUAAUUUACACACAUAUAUAUAUAUAUUUCGUCGCUUGCGGCGCACACGCAGAAAUACCAAAAUACUAAAUGCUACGAAAUGCGUGAGUGUGUUCCAUCGCCAUCGCCGAACGCAAGACCGAAUAUUAUUGAAUCGAGUCAGAGUGGGGGAAAGGGAAAGGGAAGCAAAGC